UACGUAGGGCGCAAGCGUUGUCCGGAAUUAUUGGGCGUAAAGAGCUCGUAGGCGGUUUGUCGCGUCUGCUGUGAAAACCUGAGGCUCAACCUCGGGCUUGCAGUGGGUACGGGCAGACUAGAGUGCGGUAGGGGUGACUGGAAUUCCUGGUGUAGCGGUGGAAUGCGCAGAUAUCAGGAGGAACACCGAUGGCGAAGGCAGGUCACUGGGCCGCAACUGACACUGAGGAGCGAAAGCCAGGGGAGCAAACGGG
rnacentral:rRNA from 1 species